AUCUAAGGAACCCGGCAUUGAAGAGACCCUGGGGGAGCAAUGCUCUUACAGAGUUUCUAUUUUAGGCCCUGGAAGUCUUCACAGCUCAUUGGCUCUGCACCCCAAGCAGGAAGGUCCUCAGAGGAGGACCAGACGUUGGAAGACUUUACCAAAACCAGGAAUAAGUCGGCAGAGAAAAAUAAGAGGCGCCAUGGGAGCUAAGCACGUGUGCUGAAAAAAAUUCAGGGGGCAGAGCUCGGCGAGUGAUGCACCCCCUCAUGAGUUCAAGACCCCAGCUCCAGUCUCUGGCACCCACGUGAAUGUUGGGUGAGUGGGGCAACCCACUGAUAAUCUCAGCCAUCAGGCAGAGACAGAGGAUUCCUGGGGCAAGCUAAUGAACUAGACCAGCUGACUCAGUAAACAGGGUUGCCAUGGUCAUGGUGUCACAGCAAUAAGGCAGAACACUAGGACACCGCCCAAAGAUCGUGAAGACUUGCAUCUGACAUCGGGAAAUCGAUUCCAAACUAACUGGAAAUGUACUUCAGCAGAUACUAAGGGAGAAAGAGAGCCGAGUAGGAUCUGCCAAGAAGCAUAUAAGCACCAUCUUUAAGUGCCCGUCACUGCCCACUCACCGAAUGGAUUGGAUAAUAGCAAGGAGAGCUGGUUCGAUUCUAAGGAAGAGAAACCACACUGGAGAGACAGGAGGCAAGCUGUCCUAGCUCGUGACAACAGAGCUGCUGGUUCAAUAAUCUCCUGGUUGUGUCUAAAAGUUGAAACUUGGGUUUUGGAAACAUGCAACCAUUGCAAGGACUUCAAAACACCAACAAAAUAAACAACAAAGCCCAACGACUACCUCUUCACUGCAGAGCAUCCUUCCUUUCCUUGGCAUCAGCCAAUAGGGUGUAACUUAGAGGCCUUAAAUAAGAGGUCAGAAGAGGACAUAGAAUUCCCUGGAACUGGAGCUACUGAUGGUUGUUAACCAUCACGUUGGUGCUGGGAAUCAAACCCACGACCUCUGCAG
rnacentral:lncRNA from 1 species